CUCACCCUUAAAACAGAUUACUCCCUCACGUGAAAAACUACUACAAGAGAACAACCAACAAACUAAUACUCCUCCACGUCCAGCAACAACAAAAACCCUUAUACAAACCUUAACUACAACCCUUUCAAACAAAAUCUCCAGUAACCAACACACUAAAACACACCACAUCACAAAACUUCCUCACAACUCCCUCAACCCUCACCAUACGUAAAGACAUGCACACAACCAAAAAACAGAUAUACGGCACGCACAGAAAACAAAACAGGACAUACAACCUGCACACAAUAUCAUACCAAAAAAAAAAAACAUAGAUCAUACCAGAGAAAAGAUUAGAGAAAGAUGAUUAGAAGAUCAAACCAAUAAAGAAAACAGAGGGAGAACGAGAAAGGAAAAAGGGAGUGGAGUCUGAGGUUUCUUUCACGCUUUGAGUUCGUGGUUUGUUCGUUUCUUUGAUUGUGAAUUAAUUUCUGCAAGAGAUAACCCCCAAUCUCUCUUGUAUAAUCUACUGUGGCAAUUAUACGAGACUUUUUUUUUGGGGGGGAGGGAAAUGGUGAAGGGAUUACAAUGUGGGAAAUCGAACCCUUACCAACAAAGUGGAGUUCGAGUAACUAACCAACUAAGCUUAAUUCCAAUAUUAUGAAGUUUCUCAGUUUCGAAUUUGCUUAACUUAUUAUUCUUUGACAUGAAAAUAAUUAAUACAAAAUAUGUUAAAGUAUUUUGUUUCGUUAGAUUUAGUAACGGUCCAUACUUUAUUGCAUGUUUAAGUAAAUUACCGAAUUCAUUCUUAUCUUCCUAUUUUGGUGUUUUGGUGAUGAUGCAUAUCUAGGCUGAAAUGACAACGUUUAUCAUUGUAUUUAAAGAAAUAUUUAUAUUGUAGUUUUUAUAAUCACUAUCCUAAAAGUUAAUGAAAGAAUUUAUAUUUUUGGUAGAAUAAUCAGUAAACUAAGUUAAACAUGGGGCAGGUGAUAUAAGUCUUAAUAAUUGAGUAGAGGUGACAAUUACUUAAUUAUCGAUUAAGAAAGUUUGAAAAAUUUUAAAAUAACCCACAAGUUUUUAAAUUUACACUUUGAUCUAAAUAUUAAUUAAUAUAACGAGAAACGAAGGGAAAAAAGGCGUGUUUUUCUCUCUCCUCAUCCAUUGUUAUUUUCUCUCUCUUCGCGAUAUUUGUUGUUCAUUGUUGAUGCUGCUUUAUUCAUCAUUUUCUGUUUCAUUAUCAUCAUCUUAUACUUCAUUAUCAUCUUCAUAUUCUUGUUGUUGACCAUUGUUGUUGUUGUUACCCCAACUGCUGCUCUUUGACCAAAUUCUUAUGUCAAAUUUUAUUUCGUAAAUCACUUUCAACUUUGGCAUUUACUUGAGAGGAGACUUUGGUAAGUCAAAUUAUGCUUUUUAGUUGAAUUUGUCAUCUGGGUAUCUGCUAGUGUGCGGUUUUUUCAACAAUAGCUAGCACGCGAAUAUGAAUGCAACAUAAGAGCAAUUUGUUUAAACAAAUCAAUUAUCUGCAGCACCAAAUAAAUGUUCUGUUGUAACAGUAGACUCAUGUUGGAUUCAUGUUUAUGGUUCUAGGUGCCCGUAAUAUGAAUCGAAUAGAUGGGUAUUCUGUUGCACCAGAUUAGUAAUCUGUUUCAACAGAUAAAUAAUCUGUUUCACCAGAUUACUAAUCCAUUUUGAACAACAAAAUACAGCUCCUGUCACAAACCCAACAGAUAACUCAACUCAUACGUUGAUCUCUUGCUAUUGAUACUGCAAUUAAAUUAUUCUUUAAUUAUAGACAUGUCAUUCGUUGACAUAAAAAAAUAGUUAGCACAAAAAUUAAAUAAGAAAUAAAAAGUCAAAUGCAUCAAACACAAAUUUUUAUAAAAC
rnacentral:lncRNA from 1 species